AGAGUUUGAUCAUGGCUCAGGACGAACGCUGGCGGCGUGCCUCACACAUGCAAGUCGUGCGGGGAAGCUCGCUGAGCUUGCUCGGCGAGAUUCCUAGCGGCGAACGGGUGAGUAGCGCGUGGGCAACCUACCCGUCAGACUGGGAUAACUCCGGGAAACUGGGGCUAAUACCGGAUACGGUGUCGAGCUCGCAUGAGCACGGCAUCAAAGGUGGCCUCUGCUUGCAAGCUACCACUGACGGAUGGGCCCGCGUCCCAUUAGCUAGUUGGUGGGGUAACGGCCCACCAAGGCGACGAUGGGUAGCCGGCUUGAGAGGGUGGCCGGCCACACUGGGACUGAGACACGGCCCAGACUCCUACGGGAGGCAGCAGUGGGGAAUCUUGGACAAUGGGCGAAAGCCUGAUCCAGCGACGCCGCGUGGGCGACGAAGGCCUUAGGGUCGUAAAGCCCUGUCAGCGGGGACGAACGCCCCUCUGCGAAUAGUGGAGGGGGCUGACGGUACCCGCAGAGGAAGCCCCGGCUAACUACGUGCCAGCAGCCGCGGUAAUACGUAGGGGGCGAGCGUUGUCCGGAAUCACUGGGCGUAAAGGGCGUGUAGGCGGCCCGUUAAGUCCGGGGUGAAAGCCCACGGCUCAACCGUGGGAUUGCCUCGGAAACUGGCGGGCUUGAGGGCAGGAGAGGGAAGCGGAAUUCCCGGUGUAGCGGUGAUAUGCGUAGAUAUCGGGAGGAACACCAGUGGCGAAGGCGGCUUCCUGGCCUGUCCCUGACGCUGAGGCGCGAAAGCGUGGGGAGCGAACGGGAUUAGAUACCCCGGUAGUCCACGCCGUAAACGAUGGGUGCUAGGUGUGGGUGGGUUCGACCCCAUCCGUGCCGUAGCUAACGCAAUAAGCACCCCGCCUGGGGAGUACGGCCGCAAGGCUGAAACUCAAAGGAAUUGACGG
rnacentral:rRNA from 1 species